rnacentral:rRNA from 1 species
GUGAGGAAUAUUGCGCAAUGGAGGCAACUCUGACGCAGCCAUGCCGCGUGCAGGAAGAAGGCGCUACGCGUUGUAAACUGCUUUUAACCGGGAAGAAACCCCAGGACGUGUCCUGGGUUGACGGUACCGGAGGAAUAAGCACCGGCUAACUUCGUGCCAGCAGCCGCGGUAAUACGAAGGGUGCAAGCGUUAUCCGGAUUCAUUGGGUUUAAAGGGUGCGUAGGCGGAGCGUUAAGUCAGUGGUGAAAUCCUGCAGCUUAACUGUAGACUUGCCAUUGAUACUGGCGCUCUUGAGUGCGCUUGAAGUGGGCGGAAUGUGCCGUGUAGCGGUGAAAUGCUUAGAUAUGGCACAGAACACCAAUUGCGAAGGCAGCUCACUAAGGCGAUACUGACGCUGAGGCACGAAAGCGGGGGGAUCGAACAGGAUUAGAUACCCUGGUAGUCC